UGCAGUCGANCGGUAACAUUUCUAGCUUGCUAGAAGAUGACGAGUGGCGGACGGGUGAGUAAUGCUUGGGAACUUGCCUUUGCGAGGGGGAUAACAGUUGGAAACGACUGCUAAUACCGUAUAAUGUCUACGGACCAAACGGGGCUUCGGCUCCGGCGCAAAGAGAGGCCCAAGUGAGAUUAGCUAGUUGGUAAGGUAACGGCUUACCAAGGCGACGAUCUCUAGCUGUUCUGAGAGGAAGAUCAGCCACACUGGGACUGAGACACGGCCCAGACUCCUACGGGAGGCAGCAGUGGGGAAUAUUGCACAAUGGGGGAAACCCUGAUGCAGCCAUGCCGCGUGUGUGAAGAAGGCCUUCGGGUUGUAAAGCACUUUCAGUUGUGAGGAAAAGUUAGUAGUUAAUACCUGCUAGCCGUGACGUUAACAACAGAAGAAGCACCGGCUAACUCCGUGCCAGCAGCCGCGGUAAUACGGAGGGUGCGAGCGUUAAUCGGAAUUACUGGGCGUAAAGCGCACGCAGGCGGUUUGUUAAGCUAGAUGUGAAAGCCCCGGGCUCAACCUGGGAUGGUCAUUUAGAACUGGCAGACUAGAGUCUUGGAGAGGGGAGUGGAAUUCCAGGUGUAGCGGUGAAAUGCAUAGAUAUCUGGAGGAACAUCAGUGGCGAANGCGACUCCCUGGCCAAAGACUGACGCUCAUGUGCGAAAGUGUGGGUAGCGAACANGAUUAGAUACCCUGGUAGUCCACACCGUAAACGCUGUCUACUAGCUGUGUGUGCCUUUNANGGCGUGCGUANCGAANCUANCGCGCUAAGUANANCGCCUGGGGNNUACNGNCGCAANGUUAAAACUCAAAUGAAUUGACGGGGGCCCGCACAAGCGG
rnacentral:rRNA from 1 species